rnacentral:rRNA from 1 species
GAGUUUGAUCGUGGCUCAGAUUGAACGCUGGCGGCAGGCCUAACACAUGCAAGUCGAGCGGUAGAGAGAAGCUUGCUUCUCUUGAGAGCGGCGGACGGGUGAGUAAUGCCUAGGAAUCUGCCUGGUAGUGGGGGAUAACGCUCGGAAACGGACGCUAAUACCGCAUACGUCCUACGGGAGAAAGCAGGGAACCUUCGGGCCUUGCGCUAUCAGAUGAGCCUAGGUCGGAUUAGCUAGUUGGUGAGGUAAUGCUCACCAAGGCGACGAUCCGUAACUGGUCUGAGAGGAUGAUCAGUCACACUGGAACUGAGACACGGUCCAGACUCCUACGGAGGCAGCAG